rnacentral:rRNA from 1 species
GAUGAACGCUAGCGGCAGGCCUAACACAUGCAAGUCGAGGGGUAGAACACUUCGGUGUUUGAGACCGGCGCACGGGUGCGUAACGCGUAUGCGAUCUACCUUGUACAGGGGAAUAGCCAAAGAAAUUUGGAUUAAUGCCCCAUAGUAUAUAACCUUCGCAUGUUGGUUAUAUUAAAGUUCCAACGGUACAAGAUGAGCAUGCGUCCCAUUAGUUAGUUGGUAAGGUAACGGCUUACCAAGACGAUGAUGGGUAGGGGUCCUGAGAGGGAGAUCCCCACAACUGGUACUGAGACACGGACCAGACUCCUACGGGAGGCAGCAGUGAGGAAUAUUGGUCAAUGGGCGCAAGCCUGAACCAGCCAUGCCGCGUGCAGGAAGACGGUCCUAUGGAUUGUAAACUGCUUUUAUACAGGAAGAAACAACUCUACGUGUAGAGUCUUGACGGUACUGUAGGAAUAAGGAUCGGCUAACUCCGUGCCAGCCGCCGCAGUAAAAC